rnacentral:rRNA from 1 species
UAUCCCCGCACUUACUGAUAUUCUCCUUUACCAUGUGGUACCAGGAAAGGUCAUGGCAUCCGAGUUAGCAGGAAUGACUUCCGUUAACACACUUGCCGAGAAGCCUCUAUCCGUCUCCGUUAAAGGUGGCGACGUAAUGGUGAACGAUGCCAGGAUCAUUAUUACCGAUAUCGAAGCGUCAAACGGCGUUAUCCAUGUCAUCGAUACGGUGCUAAUUCCGUAGGAUUAAUCAUAAAUAACAAAAAAUGAAGGAGAUGAGGGAAAUGUCGAACAUUAUUCAAAUUGCAUCAUCAAGUGGAACUUUCAAAACACUGGUUGAUGCAGUGCAGGCGGCGGGUCUCAGUGAAACUCUUUCGGGUAAAGGACCAUUUACCGUAUUCGCCCCAGCAGCCGCGGUAAU